UAUAGUGCUGAGCCACGAAGAGUUUCUGCAAUUGACAUUCUGAAGCUACAAAACACAGGGGUGAAAAUCACAUCCACAGGAAGGCUGACCGAUCCUCUUCUUUUCAGAUUUCACUCACUUUGACUGGACAUCUUCUGUGUGCCUCAAGGCGGGACACCCACUGUUUCUCUCGGUGCACCCACAGAGCCACCGUGGAGAGCUGAUGCAGUGAUUUGCAUCCUCGGGCCAUAUCAACCCAACUGUGAGGCAGCACUGUGACAGGUUAAAAGCACAGAGGGAGCAAAGAGCGGCCCGGAGCAGCCUCGUAAGGAAGCAUCAGACGAAGGGAAGCGGGGCAGUUUACGACUGACAUCACACAUCCUUUACUCCUAACUCAAACUGCAAAGCUGAAAGAACUGGAGUUACAGAAGACUGAGGUGGAGAGGCUUAAACAAGAGCUUCAAGCACAAGCAGCUAAACUUGCAAACCUGGAGUCACAGAAGACUGAGGUGGACAAGCUGAAGCAACAACUUCAAGGGAGGAGAACCAACAAAUGUGUCUGAGCACCAACAGACCUGUCCUCAAGACAUCCACGCUGUGCUGAGAGAGAUGAGCGCCUCUUUGGCUGAACAGAGGGUGUAGACGAGGCACCUUCAGAGAGAGAAUGAAGCACAUGCAGCUAAGCUGAGAGAACUGGAGUUACAGAAGACUGAGAUGCACACGUUGAAGCUACAGCAACAAGCACAAACCGCUAAGCUGGAGUUACAGAAGACUGAACUGGAGAAGCAGAAGACUGAGGGGGACAAGCUAAAGUAACAACUUCAAGUACAAGCAGCAGAGAUGAUCACUGUGAAAGCCAGGUCAAAUGUCACAGAAAACCAGGUGGAGG